UUUGACGUGAAAGCGCGUAUUGCUCUCAACAAGCAGCGGUACUGCCGUGGGCACUUCGCCCGUGCCAAAGCGUUCACAGGCGGAGGAUAGUCCUCCCCCAGCUGCUAUCAGGGCAGGAGAUGUUGACACCUAUGCGUCCAACUGCAAAUGAAUCGCGCAUGGGCGAAGCCGCUGCUCCCGCACUGACUGUAACGCAGUCAGUUCUUCUUCUAUUUAUUUUUUUAAGAGUGUCAGAGCAGCAUGGAGAUCCUUAACCUGGUGAACCUUGCUCUGCAAUUAACAGCCACUCUUCAACACAUGCUCGGCAUCCAACUAGAGACUUGCAGCAUAUGGGAAAACAUGGGUUCCUGCAUUAGAGCUACAAGGUUGUUGUUGUUGUUGUUGUUGUUGUUGUUGUUUUUUUAGAUGCAGAAAAAUGUACUAGUUACCUUAACUGUACACUAAGAAAAUAAGCUAGAGACCAUCUCGUGUACUUUCUGUACUUUCUGAAAUGAAGCAGAUGAAGGCAUCCUGUACAGAAUGGGCAUCAAUCAUUUCUGCUGUGCGUGUGGUCUUUGGAAGCUCAGACAGCUGAUUUAUUGUUGAGGUGAUGUCUUGGAGGCUGUCAGCGGCUUGCUUUACUCUAUCAAUUUUACAAGUGACCUCUUGUGUGCUCAAACUGUUUUCAGCCCUUCAACUUAAAUGUAGGAAGACAGAAAAUACAGAUAAAAACUUAAAACUAACCUUUCAGAAUAUUCAGGGCCAGUUUCUUUCUUUUUACUGCAAUAACUUGAUUAGUUCCUGUGAAAUUACACUUUUUGCCAUUUAAAAACAGCAACAGAUUCAAUAAUUUUGUAAUAGCAGUUCUCAACAUUACACUCAUGUGCAGAGGACUUGUGCUCUUAGCAGGAAUCUUGUGCAAUUGUGUCAGCGUGGGGUGGGGUGAGAGUAUGAAGCAGACCAGCUCUAACACUCUACAACUUCCUCUUAGUAGUGACAGAAAAACACAAGCAGGGGCUAAACAAUCGGAAUCAUGGAUUACAGUUAUGAUAAUUACACAUAUCCUGACAUUAUUGAGUCUGUGACUCCUGAGAUUCAGCCGAUCCAGAUAGUGGCCCUGGUCAUGUACAGCCUUGUGGUCCUGCUGGGUGUGCCUGGAAAUGCUCUGGUGGUGUGGGUGACGGGGUUCUGCAUGUCCCGCUCUGUCACCUCCCUCUGGUUCCUCAACCUCGCUCUGGCUGAUCUUCUGUGCUGCCUCUCCAUCCCCUUGCUUAUGGUCCCUCUGGUCCACGACGACCACUGGCACUUUGGUCCGCUGGCCUGCAUGCUCAUCAGAGGCCUGUUUUACCUGGUGAUGUACUGCAGCAUCCUGCAACUGGUUGUGAUCAGCUUGGAUCGUUUGUUGCUGGUCAUCAGACCCAUCUGGUGUCAGAACCACAGGCGACCCAAACAGGGUGCUUAUGGAUGUGUUGCUGUGUGGGUCCUGGCCUUGAUAGGCAGUAUCCCACAGUUUGUGUACGCCAAGGAGAUUGAGGCAGGUGACGAGAAGAGAGAGUGUAGGAUGGAGUACACUGUAGACAGUGCCUGGCCUGUCUCUGUUUUUCGCUUCCUGAUUGGAUUCAUUAUUCCUUUCCUGGCUAUUCUAGUUUGUCACUUGGUGGUCUUCAACAAGACACAGAGGGGAAUGACACGAGGUCGGACCCGGUCCAAGAAAACACUGAGGGUCAUCAUCGCUGUGGUGCUGAGCUUCUUCUUGUGCUGGCUACCUCUGCACAUUGUGGAUUUCCUCAUGCUGACCACCCCUCGGGUUUCCUCUGCGAGCCCCAAACUUCACCUGGCACACGUUAUAGCGCUCUGCCUGGCUUACUUCAACAGCUGCCUCAACCCUCUGCUCUAUGUGUGUCUGGGUCAAAGCUUCAAAGACAGCAUGAAUCGCUCCCUGCGUAACAUCCUCCACUUUAUUGGCGAGGACCCGACCACCAAGAAGAGUGUAACUAAUGUGGACACCAAGAGCACCAGUAAUGGCAACGAGAUGACAAAAAUAUGAUCGUGCACUGACUGUAAUACUUUAGCAAUAGAAUAAUGGUUUCGCAAAAGAAUAAGUAAUUUCUGCUGACCUUUGCAUGGAUAUGAGCACAUAGAUAUGACAGUAAAAUCACUUGGUGUGUAUAAGUAAAAAAGAUCUGUGGAUGCAAAUACUCUGCCUUUACUUUUUGAGUCAAUAAGAUUUUUUUUCUGGUUAAGUUGGGUGGUAAGUAAAUAUGUUUCCAAGAAUCUUUUAGGGUUUAAACUGCAGAAGUAUUUCAAUAAUUACAAAACAAUGCAGUAAUGUCCAGUUGUGUAAGUGUUGUUUUCAUAAACCACAAGAGGGAGAAACACUCUUCUGAUGCUCAGUUGCUUAACUCUUUCCCCUUUCAAAGCCUACUUGGGUUCCCUCUUGAGGAUCUUUUUAUAUUUCAGGCCUGUUACCCUUGGAAAGAUAUUCUGAUGGUUGUAUGUUGUGACAAAGAGACUGGAGUAGAGGCAAGACUGAAAUGGUUUGGACAUGUGCAGAGGAGGGACAGUGAAUAUACUGGACAAAGGACGUGGAAUAUGGAGUGCCUGGGAGGAAGAGAAGAGGAAGGCCUAGCAGAUUCAUGGAUAUCAUGAGAGGACAAGAGGGCUUGUGUGACAGAGGCGGAUGCUUGGAAUAUGGUGAGAUGGUGGUAGACCUCUGCUCCGGUGACCUCUAAAGCAAGCAGCUGAAAGAAGUUGUGGAAAAGACCUAAACAGAGUUGUCAAAUGAUCAGACAAAGAGUUUGCAGACUGUGCUAGAAAAACUCUUCUGGGGACUUGUCAGACAUUUCGCAAUAUGUGAAGUUAAUAUAUACAAACAGUUUUUUUCUUCCUGGUAUAACUUAAUAUACUUCCAGGUUAAAUUUACUUUGUGGAACCACCUACUUUGACUUUUACGAGUAAAGCAACAAAUGUGAUUCACUCAUGUACAUCCAGAGGGUCUUGACAAUUUAGAUGUCACAGUUUAGGUUUUCUUUUGUCGUUUUACAGCAGGCCUGGAGUUCGACACCUGUGUUGUACAUUGUUAAGUUUAGCGUACAUUGUACAGGGUCAGUUAAUGGGGGUUUCAUCCAUGAUUAGAUUUAACUAACAUAUCAAACCUGGCGUGUGGUGGAUAAAUGCCAUUGCUUAAGAGAUGUUUUUAUCAGUUUUUGUCAAACUUAUAAAAACAUGAAUGAAGACUGUGCGACCAAUAUCCUGAAAUAAUGUUUAAAAUGGAAACACCAUUCAAGGAAUAGUUUUAAAAAAUGCAUGAACAACAUAACAUUUUCUAUUGAAUUACUGUAUAUACUUCAGAUCGUCUGCACACCAGCUGUUCUAUUAGCAAUACAAAACUGUAUUUGUUUUUUAAAUUUAUAGCUUGGAUUAAAUUUAAGUGAGGUUGCAAAUAAAAUACUUGGAUCAUUAGAGUAAUUUAAAAAUAAUGUAUUAACUAAAAAGUGUUAAGGACAACAAAACAAACUUCUUGGUUGGGCAAGAAAUGCAAUUAAAAGAGACUCACUAGGCCAUGAAAGGGUUGUUCUGAGAAUAUAUAGACUGAAAAGAUUAAAUAUGAAGAAUAUUGCCAUGUCAACAUCAAUAAAAGUAACUGUUAUUGUA